rnacentral:rRNA from 1 species
GCUUGAUUUUCACCGAAGCUUGCUUCACCGAAAAUCAAGAGUAGCGAACGGGUGAGUAACGCGUGGGUAACCUACCUUUCAGCGGGGGAUAACUAUUGGAAACGAUAGCUAAUACCGCAUAAUAAUGUUGGAUGCAUAUUCGACAUUUGAAAGUACCAACUGGUACACUGAGAGAUGGACCCGCGUUGUAUUAGCUAGUU